rnacentral:misc_RNA from 1 species
GAUGAAGAACGCAGCGAAAUGCGAUACCUGGGGUGAAUUGCAGAAUCCCGUGAACCAUCGAGUCUUUGAACGCAAGUUGCGCCCGAGGCCUCCUGGUCGAGGGCACGUCUGCCUGGGUGUCACGCAUCGUCGCCCCCUCUCCCCUCGGCUCGCGAGGGCGGGGGCGGAUACUGGUCUCCCGCGCGCUCCCGCUCGCGGUUGGCCCACAAUCGAGUCCUCGGCGACGGUCGCCACGACGAGCGGUGGUUGAGAGACCCUCGGACACGGUCGUGCGCGCGCCUGUCGCCCCCGGGAUCUCCUGGACCCUCGGGCAUCGAAAUUCUAGGAUGCUCUCGUUGCGACCCCAGGUCAGGCGGGACUACCCGCUGAGUUUAAGCAUAUCAAUAAGCGGAGGA